rnacentral:rRNA from 1 species
UGCCAGACUCCUACGGGAGGCAGCAGUGAGGAAUAUUGGUCAAUGGGCUUACGCCUGAACCAGCCAAGUCGCGUGAGGGAAGACUGCCCUAUGGGUUGUAAACCUCUUUUGUCAGGGAGCAAUUGGCGCUACGUGUAGCGUUAUCGAGAGUACCUGAAGAAAAAGCAUCGGCUAACUCCGUGCCAGCAGCCGCGGUAAUACGGAGGAUGCGAGCGUUAUCCGGAUUUAUUGGGUUUAAAGGGUGCGCAGGCGGAAUGUCAAGUCAGCGGUAAAAUUUCGGGGCUCAACCCCGGCGAGCCGUUGAAACUGGCGGGCUGGAGUUGGAGAGAAGUACGCGGAAUGCGCGGUGUAGCGGUGAAAUGCUUAGAUAUCGCGCAGAACCCCGAUUGCGAAGGCAGCGUACCGGCGCCGGACUGACGCUGAGGCACGAAAGCGUGGGUAUCGAACAGGAUUAGAUACCCGGGUA